ensembl:lncRNA
CGGAAAAUGAGCAUAGUUAACAUAGACGGGGAAAUGGGAGGUGCGGUCGAACGGGGUGCGUUCAUGUAUGUUUCAUGCAGGGCAGCACUUUACCUGGCUAAGUUAACCUCUCUCUGGGCUCGAAUUGCUGAAGAGCUAACUUAUGGACAGAUUCCUAGCAGGAUUGCUAGCUAUACAGUCAGUUACAGAUGACUAGCAAAAUGCGCUGGAGUUACGGAGACUGUGUUCUUCUCUCCUGGGCCUGUGUCUCGAACGCACACCCUCUGUCUGCAUUGCCAGAACCCACCAUGAACACAUCCCUGUCUUCAUAUUCAGGGCCUGACAGAACUAGGCUGGCAGAGGAGAGCUGCAGGUCUAGACAAGCCAGCAGAAUAGAACCCCAGAAACAUGGGAGAGGGCCUCAAACACACUUAGUGCUGGAGAUCACCCUAUGAAUGGCAGACAAGAUUGGGGACAGGUGGAGCUGAUUGGGUUGUUGAGAGGUUGCACCUGGGUUUGGGACCAACUAGAAGAUAAACGUUCCAGGUGGCCAGUCCUGGAUCGCUCUCUCCCACAAGGACCAAGAUCGGCAGGCGACCAUGGGUGGUAGACGAAAAUAGUUGGGUGCGCGUGGUCUUCACUUCCCACGGAUGGAUUAGCAACUUCUACCGUCGGGAAAUUACCUUCAGGCUUCCUAGACGACGUGACGCUCCUUGUCCUCCAAGCAAUUGGGGAUGUCGCACCAAGGUCGGCCACGAGUGAAGGAUAAAACUUCCGGGCAGGAAGAUUUUUUUUUGUGUUUUUUACACACACACACACUCACACACUUACUAUUUUAUUUAUUUCAUUUUAAUGUAUUAUUUUCAUUUUCUAACAUACAGUACGC